rnacentral:pre_miRNA from 1 species
AGGGGGACCAGCCACACUGGCGAUGGCCAGCUCUGGAGCCUUGAAUUCAGCUCCCGCAGUAACCAGGGAGCUCUCAGUCUGCAGGGGCCUGGAUGCUCCGGGGGUGG